CUUUUGGAUGGCUGUUUAUAUAGACGUGUUAUUGUCACUUGUCAGAGUGAUAAUCUACUUGGCUGUGGCAGUGCUUUACUGUCUUUGACUGUCUGCUCAUGGACAACUUGUGCUCACUUAAAACUUAAUAGAAACACAUCAAAAAGUUUCUCUGAUCAAAGUUAAAGUAGAUUUUAAUUUGAUCAAAGCACAUAACAGUUUAAAUGCCUUUUAGUUGCUCUGAAGUUACAGUACUUGACCUAAUGGGGUGUUUAUAUGGAGGCAAGCCAGCUCGGGUGCCUGAGCUAGCUCGCUUGGCCGAGAUCUAAUGUUGCUAGAUAAUUUAUACUAAUAUUCGUAUUGUGUGUAUAUGAGAACCAGGCUGGCUUGCCUAAGCGAGAUCUUGUUUAAUUUGUGAAGCCCGACAGAGCCCCAGAUCUCGCCUAGGUUGGCUGGUUUGCCUAAGCCGCUCAAUACGAAUAUAUUGUACUAAUUGUAGUAAAUAAGACUUUCUCAACAGAUUUUUGAUCUAUAAUUUUAUAAAUUAAUGCCUCUGUGAACAGUUGUGAUGGUCAUAACCAUGACAGUUUCUCGCGAUGAUUUGUUUUGGUGCCAGCCUGCUACAUGAUGAAAUUAGCUAGGCAAAGCCACCUAGCUCAGGUAACUUGGCUGGCUUGCUUCCAUAUAAACACCCCUAAGACAUUUAGUUUAUAAAAGAUUUUGAUCACAAAUACUUAUAUGAUGUAAACAAACUCAACUAAUAAUUACUAGUAAGUAUAUUUUCCACCCUAAUUGUAAGUAAAAGCUUGCAUAUAAGAACCUGUAUAAGGGUCUGUCAGGCUAAUUUUUCAGUAUUUAGACACCCAAUCUGUUUAGGCUAGUAUUUCAGGUUCUUAUUUUAUCACAUGGAGACCAGUCAGAUCUAAAAAUGUAUAAAAAUCAAAGAGAAUAAACUCUUCACAAAGUAAUGAAAAUGAUCCAGAACCCUGAAAAUGUCAUUGAGAUAAAUAAAGUGUAGCUUUGCAGUGCAUACAGCUUUGUAUAAGUGCAUAUAUACUGGCAUUUUUAGAUGAUCAUGACUGAUAUAGUUAUAACUAUACAUGUCUUGUCCAAAAGUGGGGUCUGGGGGUUUGAAAUCAGAGCUUUCUUUCUCCUAGAUGGAUUGCCAGCCAAGGCUUAUGAGCUCCAUCUACACAAAGGAAUCUGAUUUUAAGGUGCCAGACACUUGCCAGUUCAUAUUGUACUAUAAUUGCCUGAUUUUGUGUCACAAAGAGUGGCACCAUCCCCUUAUCUAUGUUGCCAGAACAGGCUGCCGUGCAUGGUCUGUUUUGGGACAAAAUUAGACAACACAGUAAAACCCUGCGAAUAAGAACCUAGAUUUUUUCCAAGUUAGCCUAAACAGGUUCUUAUGUAAAUGGUACUUAUCUGAUUGUUCAUGUUACAAACGUACUGUAAUUAUAUUUAGUAGUUAUAUUCAGUAUUCUCAGGGGGCAUAUAAAGGCUAUAAAUAAAGCCCUGGAG
rnacentral:lncRNA from 1 species